GACGAACGCUGGCGGCGUGCUUAACACAUGCAAGUCGAGCGGAAAGGCCCUUUCGGGGGUACUCGAGCGGCGAACGGGUGAGUAACACGUGAGUAAUCUGCCCUUCACUUGGGGAUAACCUCCGGAAACGGUGGCUAAUACCCGAUACGACCAGCCUACGCAUGUGGUGCUGGUGGAAAGUUUUUUCGGUGGGGGAUGUGCUCGCGGCCUAUCAGCUUGUUGGUGGGGUAAUGGCCUACCAAGGCUUCGACGGGUAGCCGGCCUGAGAGGGUGACCGGCCACACUGGGACUGAGACACGGCCCAGACUCCUACGGGAGGCAGCAGUGGGGAAUAUUGGACAAUGGGCGGAAGCCUGAUCCAGCAACGCCGCGUGAGGGAUGACGGCCUUCGGGUUGUAAACCUCUUUCAGCACAGACGAAGUCUCAGCUUUUUGGUUGGGGUGACGGUAUGUGCAGAAGAAGCACCGGCCAACUACGUGCCAGCAGCCGCCGUAACAC
rnacentral:rRNA from 1 species